CUGGACCAACCUUCCAGAGUCCGGUAGCUGCACAGCCCCAGAUCAUCCGGCCACGGACUGAUCCGGGAGGCCAGAAAGCCGGCAAGACGGAAUUGCCCGUCUUGGACGGUGCCGGCAGCGGACCGUCUGGGCGUCGGUUUGUGUCACUGGCAACCAUCACUCGCACUUAAACCGGGCCCAGGUGCCCAUAGAAGGCAGAAAUGGUGGACACGGAUCGCUCUCAAGGAUGCUCCGCUCCGAGCCCGUCACCUAGGAUCAUCUGGGCUGUUUCUGCUGUCCGGGGACGCCGCCGUGGAAGCGAUUCGGCAGGGCGCUCGCCACCAACCGCUCUCCAAGUUUGUGCUGAAUGGAGGCAAAAGGUUGGCUUUUCGCUUGCGGGGUGGUGGAAGGAAGCAGAACUUUGAUGACACUUCUCGGUCGGCUCUUGGCGUGUCUGUGACUGCCUUCGCUGAGAGGUGCGCUGCGGGUGUCCGGCGAGGAAGAAAGAAGGGUUCGCAGCGCGCGGGGCCUGGGCGUGGAGGUGCGCUUUGCGGCUCCGCUCCGCCCCGGGCUGCAGGGCCUGGACGGUUUCUGUUCAGUAGGGUGUGUGUUACGAGCGUGGAUAGGACAGAGAUCCAGACACAAAGACAGACAAGGCAUCAGUUACUGCAGUGGGCUGGAUCUGUGUGAACUCCGAGAGCGAGAUUCGGUAACUGGGUGCAGCUGGUGCGUGUGGCUCGGUGCACAUCGGAGUCUGUGCGUUCGAGGCUUGUGUGCGGAACUGGUUGUCCACGUGUUUCGACUGGGGUUGCCCGCGCUUGUGCCUCGGACAGCAGCUAUCAGACAAAGAAACCCACAUUUGAACCAGUGAUCUGUGAGAAGUGGGAUUCAAACUGGUGUGUUUGUCCCCCUUGAAAAGCAGGAAGAGGAAGGCGCUGGAGUGGUUUCUUUCAAAAUAAUAACAGAGCUUUCGUGACUAUUUCUGUGAGUGAGG
rnacentral:lncRNA from 1 species